rnacentral:rRNA from 1 species
AUUGAACGCUGGCGGCAAGCCUAACACAUGCACGUCGAACGAGUGGCGGACGGGUGAGUAAUGUCUGGGAAACUGCCUGAUGGAGGGGGAUAACUACUGGAAACGGUAGCUAAUACCGCAUACCAUCGGAUGUGCCCAGAUGGGAUUAGCUAGUAGGUGGGGUAAAGGCUCACCUAGGCGACGAUCCCUAGCUGGUCUGAGAGGAUGACCAGCCAAACGGGAACUGAGACACGGUCCAGACUCCGACGCGAGGCAGCAGUGGGGAAGAGUGCACAAUGGGCGCAAGCCGGAUGCAGCCAGGCCGGGGGUAGGAAGAAGGCCUGCGGGUGGUAAAGUAAUUUCAGCGGGGAGGCGUUACCCGCAGAAGAAGCACCGGCUAACUCCGUGCCAGCAGCCGCGGUAAGAC